AGCCAAACCUACCAGCAGCGUACGUGACAUCCGCAGUGGCCCUGGCUGAGGUUUCGCUGUGAUUAGAGAAUGAGGGUAGCAGCGGGUUGUUGUUUGCUGAUUAGACUUUUCACAGAACGCUGAGCAUGAGGGAUCCUCGGUGCCAAGCUCUGCUUCGAGGGAGAUCCCUGUUUAGCCAAAUGGCGGUCUGUUGGCUCCUUAAGAUUUCUCAGAAUAUGGACGGAGCCUUGAAGAUGACAUUCGCUCUGACACAUCGUUCAUGUUCCAGCGAGUGCUGGUGUCUCUGUCAGCUGUGAGUGACUGCUUCUGAUGGGGGGCGGGUUUUAUCGAAAUGUCCACUCUAUCCCCUUUGCCAGCCUUUCUCAUCCUUUCAGCCCCUGACAUGUGGAUAUUCCCCAGGUAGUGUUCUCAGACCCCUCUGUUCCUUUAUCUUAUUUCUCCUUCAGAGACUCUGGCUAAUCCUGCCUGCCCAUUUUUUCUACUUUAAUUUGAUAUUUACAAGUACCUAACACCUGCCAGGU
rnacentral:lncRNA from 1 species